rnacentral:rRNA from 1 species
GACGUAGGGCGCGAGCGUUGUCCGGAUUUAUUGGGCGUUAAAGAGCUCGUAGGCGGUUUGUCGCGUCUGCCGUGAAAGUCCGGGGCUCAACUCCGGAUCUGCGGUGGGUACGGGCAGACUAGAGUGAUGUAGGGGAGACUGGAAUUCCUGGUGUAGCGGUGAAAUGCGCAGAUAUCAGGAGGAACACCGAUGGCGAAGGCAGGUCUCUGGGCAUUAACUGACGCUGAGGAGCGAAAGCAUGGGGAGCGAACAGG